AUUAGAACGCCUUGUUUGCCAGUCUAUUUGCCACUUUGUCCGUAGUUUUCCAUCUGUUAUGUGGCAUUAUAGCCAAUUCCCCGGCCAUUGAAAGUGACGUAUACCAUCCGAUUAUCGGGAAACCGACGACAGAGUCCUAACGAAAACGGACAUUUCUGGAGCGAGCAUGCCGGAUCCGUAGCCGUAACGUGGAGUAACUGAUACCAGGAGGGCUUUUAGCCAGCCCGAAGCCCGGUCAUCAAAUGCAAGGGGCAUUGAUGGACUGCAUUUGAUUAAAUUAGUGUGCAUUUGAGUUGGAAACGCUUCGGCCUUAAUGGCUGCCACAUCACUCAGCCGGAAUUUACUUGUGCUGCCUCCGAGAAUCUAACCAAAAAUAUUUUUCGCACACUCAACACCACGAUUUAUUCAGGGACGGUGUGUGCAUGUGGGAUGUGAAUAUAUGCCAGUGCGGACCGAGCGUGGAUGUGGAUGUCCAAAUGGAAAACCGGAUGGAUGGCGGAAAAAUACAUGCGGCUGAGUGAUUGCUGUAUAAAAUUAGGCAUGCUUUUCAAAAUGCAGCUUCGAUGUGCUUUUGUUUUGUGAGAGGUUUGGGUGGGCCGCGCCCCCGAAGCCCCGGUUGCAUUCGUUUUGGCACGUUUCAACAUAUUAUUGAGCGCAAUUUCUGUGGUGGCCAAUAAAUCAGUUGCAAAAGCGAACAACUCAAUCACUAACCGCAUGUGUACACGUUCCUGCGCACAGUGGGUCGAGCGAGUGAAUUAUGCACCGGCACUUCCCAGGCACCGGAUGUUGCAUUCCUUUCCCAUUGCUCCAGUGUAUCACCCUGGACAGCUCCUCGAUUCGCUUUCGCCCAUUUUGAUUAUGUUUAGUUUAAUGUUGUUGGCUGGCAAGUGACCCCGGCACAAGUCACUUAGAUGGUCAGGAGCACCGAAAGCUGGCAGAUGUUGGACCGAUGAUGCUG